rnacentral:rRNA from 1 species
AAGUUUGAUCCUGGCUCAGAUUGAACACUGGCGGCAUGCCUUACACAUGCAAGUCGAACGGUAACAGGGAGCUUGCUCCGCUGACGAGUGGCGAACGGGUGAGUAAUAUAUCGGAACGUGCCCUGGAGUGGGGGAUAACUAGUCGAAAGAUUAGCUAAUACCGCAUACGAUCUACGGAUGAAAGUGGGGGCUUCGCAAGAACCUCAUGCUCCUGGAGCGGCCGAUAUCUGAUUAGCUAGUUGGCGAGGUAAAGGCUCACCAAGGCAUCGAUCAGUAGCUGGUCUGAGAGGACGACCAGCCACACUGGGACUGAGACACGGCCCAGACUCCUACGGGAGGCAGCAGUGGGGAAUUUUGGACAAUGGGCGCAAGCCUGAUCCAGCAAUGCCGCGUGAGUGAAGAAGGCCUUCGGGUUGUAAAGCUCUUUUGUCAGGGAAGAAACGGUCUUGGAUAAUACCUGGGGCUAAUGACGGUACCUGAAGAAUAAGCACCGGCUAACUACGUGCCAGCAGCCGCGGUAAUACGUAGGGUGCAAGCGUUAAUCGGAAUUACUGGGCGUAAAGCGUGCGCAGGCGGUUGUGUAAGACAGGUGUGAAAUCCCCGGGCUUAACCUGGGAAUGGCAUUUGUGACUGCACGGCUAGAGUGUGUCGGAGGGGGGUAGAAUUCCACGUGUAGCAGUGAAAUGCG